AUCGAUGAAGAACGCAGCGAAAUGCGAUAAGUAAUGUGAAUUGCAGAAUUCAGUGAAUCAUCGAAUCUUUGAACGCACCUUGCGCUCCUUGGUAUUCCGAGGAGCAUGCCUGUUUGAGUGUCGCGAACUUCUCAACCUCGCAACGCUGCCGAGUGUUGGAUCUUGGAGGUUCUGCCGGACUUUUUUUUAACGUCGGGCUCCUCUGAAACGCAUCAGCAGACUAAUUGUUUUUCUUUGCUGGCUUUGGUUUGAUAAAUCUAUCUAUGUCAUCGCCAUCUUGUUAAACGAAAAACGGUCAGCUUACAAUCGUCCCUCUGGGACAAUCGCUUGACGAAUUUGACCUCAAAUCAGGUAGGACUACCCGCUGAACUUAAGCAUAUCAAUAAGCGGAGGAAAAGAAACUAACAAGGAUUCCCGUAGUAACGGCGAGUGAAGUGGGAAAAGCUCAAAUUUGAAAUCUGGCAGCCUAUCUUUGGCUUGUCCGAGUUGUAACCUAGAGAAGCGUCUUUCCGUUGUUGGACCGUGUACAAGUCUCUUGGAAUAGAGCGUCGUAGAGGGUGAGAAUCCCGUCUUUGACACGGACUGCCGGCACAUCUGUGAUGCGCUCUCGAAGAGUCGAGUUGUUUGGGAAUGCAGCUCAAAACGGGUGGUAAAUUCCAUCUAAAGCUAAAUAUUGGCGAGAGACCGAUAGCGAACAAGUACCGUGAGGGAAAGAUGAAAAGAACUUUGGAAAGAGAGUUAAACAGUACGUGAAAUUGUUGAAAGGGAAACGCUUGGAGUCAGUCACGUCGGGCAGGGAUCAACCUUGCUUUUUUUGCUUGGUGUACUCUCUGUUUAUCACCGACGGGUCAGCGUCAAUUUUGACCGUCGGACAAAGUCCAUCGGAAUGUGACAUUUCCUUUGUGAGAUGUGUUAUAGCCUUUGGUCGUAUGCGACGGUUGGGAUUGAGGAACUCGGCACGCCGUACGGUUGUUGCUUAGGAUGCUGGCAUAAUGGCUUUAAUCGACCCGUCUUGAAACACGGA
rnacentral:rRNA from 1 species